rnacentral:rRNA from 1 species
AUGGCCGUCGUCAGUUCGUACUGUGAAGCAUCCUGUUAAGUCAGGCAACGAGCGAGACCCACGCCCACAGUUGCCAGCGUACUCUCUGGAGUGACGGGUACACUGUGGGGACCGCCGCUGCUAAAGCGGAGGAAGGAAUGGGCAACGGUAGGUCAGUAUGCCCCGAAUAUCCCGGGCUACACGCGAGCUACAAUGGUUGGUACAAUGGGUAUCUACCCCGAAAGGGGACGGGAAUCUCCUAAAACCAAUCUUAGUUCGGAUUGAGGGCUGCAACUCGCCCUCAUGAAGCUGGAAUCCGUAGUAAUCGCGUUUCAACAGAACGCGGUGAAUACGUCCCUGCUCCUU